rnacentral:tRNA from 1 species
GAGGGUAUAGCUCAAGUGGUAGAGCACAUGCUUACAGUACAGGAGGUCCUGAGUUCAAUCCCCAGUACCUCCU